CCUAUUGUCACCUCAUUGUCUGCAUUGUAGCUGUCCCCCACAUAGAAAUAGAAUGAAUUCAUUCUAUGGUCCCCCAUCACUCUCCCCAUCAGCCCCUUGAUCAUCUGGUCUGAGGCAGACGACAUAUCACUGCCUCCUCUCUGUAGGGAGGCAAUAAUCUCCUCCACCAUCCUCCCUCUGCCAAGCCCCAUAGCCGUGGCCACUGACUCUUCAGGGUCUUCUGCUGGUCCUCCUGGCCCUCAGCCCCUAUGAUCCCCCGGGCCUCAUGAAGCUGCUCUGUGGUAAACUUGACAGUACAGAUGCUGUCGUCAGUGGAAGUCCUUGGUGUAGGUGUAGACCUAUCUUUCGGUUUCCUCAUUUUCUUUUUUUUUUUAUCUUCCGCAGGGGCGUUCCCGUGGGAUUGGUCGGAGACCGAGUCCUCACUGUUCCUGCUCUCAUCCGUGCUGUCCAAGCUCAGAGCCUGACAUCUGCUGAGGAAGUUGGAUCUCCGGAUGCGCCACUCAGCCGCUUCCUUCUCCAAGAUAGACACCUGCUCUGACUCCUUCUUGCUCUUGUAUAUACACAUUCUGGUCCCUGUUGCUGGCCUCUCUGGUCCUGGGCUUUGAAGGAGACUGUGGCCUCAUGGACAUGGACACCACUUUGGUAGUGCCUGCUAGCUGAGGCAUGGCCGGCUUCGAGGCAGGUUUGUGCUCUGGAGGACACAGGGCCAAAUGAACUGAAUCAAUAGCAUUGCUGACAUCUCUCUCUCCACUGAUUCCUUACAUAUGUGUUAUCCCUUGACUUUUGCUCACCUCUGACUUCCUUUAAGGGAUGUCUGGUAGUAGUGUGAUCUGUGGUAAGGAGGCAGGUGGGGAUUGUAGCAGAUCUGCAUGGAACUCCAACGGGCUGUCUGACCCUGCAGACAUUGUUGAGGUCUUAUUUUGGGGUUAGUCCGACGUCCCUCUGUAGCUUCUUCCAUCAGUCCUCAUGACUUCAGUGUGUGGGGAGAGUCUGCUGGCUGGGCUAUUGUGCUAUCGUUGCGUUGGAGUUGAAAAACAGCUGAUUCAUUUUUAGGAAGUCACGCGUAGAGCCUCGAACUCUUUCUUCAGCUUCAGCUCCUCUGUGGCUCAGAUCUUCUUAUUUCUCAGUAUGUUGCCCUGUGUCUAUCAACAUGACCAAGUGUUGGAAAGUGAAACAUUUAAAAAAAAUAAAAAGUAC
rnacentral:lncRNA from 1 species